ACGCUCGACACCUACGGGAGUCAGCAGUGGGGGAUAUUGCACAAUGGGGGAAACCCUGAUGCAGCAACGCCGCGUGAAGGAAGAAGGUCUUCGGAUUGUAAACUUCUGUCCUCAGGGAAGAUAAUGACGGUACCUGAGGAGGAAGCUCCGGCUAACUACGUACCAGCAGCCGCGGUAAUCUGAGCGGGCUGGCAAGGC
rnacentral:rRNA from 1 species